UAUAUCCGUAUUCCGUGGAUUCCACUAUUUGUUGAUAUAGAUAAGUGAUAACAAUAAAAAUUGAUAGUGAAUAGUGAUCCGGUGAUUGGAUAACGGAUAUAAUAUUAUUAUUAUUCUACUGGUUAGUACUUAUAUCUUAGUUCGUGUCAGUUUUCGCAAGUGUUUUGGUUUUUGGCUUUUACUCUGCUGGAAAUUGACACAACUGAUUGAUUCAUUAGUUGGAAUACAAAAUAUUUUAAAUACAUUUGGUGAACCAUGGUCAACAAAUGUGGAGUAAAGGGUUGUAAGACAACUGCUAUCAAAGGGUCAAAAGUGUGUGUGUUUCCUAAAGCUGGUAUUUGCCGUUUAUGGGUAAAUGCUGUGCAACAAUAUCAACUAAAUUUUUUUCCAAGUCAACAGUCAAUUAUAAUAUGUAAAUCUGUACAGUCUGUAGUUUCUGUUGAAGAAAUUGAAGUUAUUAUGGACGGUGUAUUAUCUGAGAAUACUGCAAAACCAUGUAUUUUUUUUAAUUGUUAUUUUAACAUUGACACACUUAAAAUGAAACACUCUAAGCAUCUAUUGCACCAAAUAAAAUUAUUUGAUGAAUCCUCAUUGCAAGAUUUACAUAUCCAUGUUGAAUUUAUCCACUUUAUCUCCACAACUUGUUGGAGAGUAGCCCAGGCAUCGCUGUCAAAAUAUCUUUUUAUGUCAUCAAUCGCAAGAUACUGCAAUACUGGCCACAUCCUUAUCCACAAACCAAUUUGACAUUUCAAAAUGUCUAGUCAAAACAUCAAGUUUUUCAAAAGGAACUAAACUUGAAACCUUUUUUCGUUUUGCAAUACCAAUGGCAGUUUUGUUUUUACCUAAAAUAUAAAGUAUGAAAAUAAAUUUCAUCAAGGAUAAUCAUUCGAAAAUAUAUGGAAUAUACAAUCACCUUUUGGACGUCCUCUUUUUGGAACUUUUGGAGUAUUUCUUCAUCCAUGUGUACUAUAUCGUCAUCCAUGUGUAAUACACCGUCAUCCAUGUGUAUUAUAUUGUCAUUGGCAAAUUCAUCAUUUUUUUCUGUUUGUUUCAGUAAGUUAUCUAAAAAAUAAUUAUUUAAUUGUUAAAUUUGAUAUGUAGAUCUACUUAUUUUACUGAGUCAAUAUACCUAUGUCUUCAAGUUGAAUGGGAUCUCCCACUUUUCUGAAAUAUAUUUAAGAAUGUUUAAUCUGCGCAGGUAUUCUUGUCCUGUUGCUUCUGACGUUAGAGAAGCAAGCCUCUUAGCCUCUACAUGUGCUUUCGUAUAUUUUUCAUGUAGGUUUAAAAUGUGCUUUGGUUUCUUAAGUUCUAUUUCUAGUUAAAUUUAUGGAAACAAUUUUAAAAAAAUAAGUCAGAAAAGGCCAAUUCUUGCAUGGAAGCUUUUAAAUAUGCACCUAUGUUUCCUAACAUUAAAUGUCUUUUAACAAUUCUUAGUGUCAUACCUAUAACAACAGCAAUUGCUGAAAGGUCAUUCAGUUAUUAUUCACUUAUACAUCAAAAUAUUAUAAAUUAGAUUCUGGAUCAUUCUUAUUUCCAUCAGUGAAGUCUGAAGUUUCUGACGAAGAAAUUGAAGUCAUUAUAGAUUAUGUAUUAU